AUUGAACGCUGGCGGCAUGCCUAACACAUGCAAGUCGAACGGCAGCACGGGGGCAACCCUGGUGGCGAGUGGCGGACGGGUGAGGAAUGCAUAGGAAUCUGCCCAGUUGUGGGGGAUAACGUAGGGAAACUUACGCUAAUACCGCAUACGACCUACGGGUGAAAGAGGGGGACCUUCGGGCCUCUCGCGAUUGGAUGAGCCUAUGCCGGAUUAGCUAGUUGGCGGGGUAAGAGCCCACCAAGGCGACGAUCCGUAGCUGGUCUGAGAGGAUGAUCAGCCACACUGGAACUGAGACACGGUCCAGACUCCUACGGGAGGCAGCAGUGGGGAAUAUUGGACAAUGGGCGCAAGCCUGAUCCAGCAAUGCCGCGUGUGUGAAGAAGGCCUUCGGGUUGUAAAGCACUUUUGUUUGGGAAGAAAUCCGGUUGGUUAAUACCUGAUCGGGAUGACGGU
rnacentral:rRNA from 1 species